UACGUAGGGUGCGAGCGUUAAUCGGAAUUACUGGGCGUAAAGCGUGCGCAGGCGGUCUUGUAAGACAGUCGUGAAAGCCCCGGGCUUAACCUGGGAACUGCGAUUGUGACUGCAAGGCUAGAGUGUGUCAGAGGGGGGUGGAAUUCCACGUGUAGCAGUGAAAUGCGUAGAGAUGUGGAGGAACACCGAUGGCGAAGGCAGCCCCCUGGGAUAACACUGACGCUCAUGCACGAAAGCGUGGGGAGCAAACAGG
rnacentral:rRNA from 1 species